rnacentral:rRNA from 1 species
GACGAACGCUGGCGGCGUGCUUAACACAUGCAAGUCGAACGGAAAGGCCCUGCUUUUGUGGGGUGCUCGAGUGGCGAACGGGUGAGUAACACGUGAGUAACCUGCCCUUGACUUUGGGAUAACUUCAGGAAACUGGGGCUAAUACCGGAUAGGAGCUCCUGCUGCAUGGUGGGGGUUGGAAAGUUUCGGCGGUUGGGGAUGGACUCGCGGCUUAUCAGCUUGUUGGUGGGGUAGUGGCUUACCAAGGCUUUGACGGGUAGCCGGCCUGAGAGGGUGACCGGCCACAUUGGGACUGAGAUACGGCCCAGACUCCUACGGGAGGCAGCAGUGGGGAAUAUUGCACAAUGGGCGGAAGCCUGAUGCAGCAACGCCGCGUGCGGGAUGACGGCCUUCGGGUUGUAAACCGCUUUCGCCUGUGACGAAGCGUGAGUGACGGUAAUGGGUAAAGAAGCACCGGCUAACUACGUGCCAGCAGCCGCGGUGAUACGUAGGGUGCGAGCGUUGUCCGGAUUUAUUGGGCGUAAAGGGCUCGUAGGUGGUUGAUCGCGUCGGAAGUGUAAUCUUGGGGCUUAACCCUGAGCGUGCUUUCGAUACGGGUUGACUUGAGGAAGGUAGGGGAGAAUGGAAUUCCUGGUGGAGCGGUGGAAUGCGCAGAUAUCAGGAGGAACACCAGUGGCGAAGGCGGUUCUCUGGGCCUUUCCUGACGCUGAGGAGCGAAAGCGUGGGGAGCGAACAGGCUUAGAUACCCUGGUAGUCCACGCUGUAAACGGUGGGUACUAGGUGUGGGGUCCAUUCCACGGGUUCCGUGCCGUAGCUAACGCUUUAAGUACCCCGCCUGGGGAGUACGGCCGCAAGGCUAAAACUCAAAGGAAUUGACGGGGCCUCGCACAAGCGGCGGAGCAUGCGGAUUAAUUCGAUGCAACGCGUAGAACCUUACCUGGGUUUGACAUGGAUCGGGAGUGCUCAGAGAUGGGUGUGCCUCUUUUGGGGUCGGUUCACAGGUGGUGCAUGGCUGUCGUCAGCUCGUGUCGUGAGAUGUUGGGUUAAGUCCCGCAACGAGCGCAACCCUUGUUCACUGUUGCCAGCACGUUAUGGUGGGGACUCAGUGGAGACCGCCGGGGUCAACUCGGAGGAAGGUGGGGAUGACGUCAAGUCAUCAUGCCCCUUAUGUCCAGGGCUUCACGCAUGCUACAAUGGCUGGUACAGAGAGUGGCGAGCCUGUGAGGGUGAGCGAAUCUCGGAAAGCCGGUCUCAGUUCGGAUUGGGGUCUGCAACUCGACCUCAUGAAGUCGGAGUCGCUAGUAAUCGCAGAUCAGCAACGCUGCGGUGAAUACGUUCCCGGGGCU